rnacentral:rRNA from 1 species
UACGGAGAGGGCUAGCGUUAUUCGGAAUUAUUGGGCGUAAAGAGCACGUAGGCUGAUUAGUAAGUUAAAAGUGAAAUCCCAGAGCUCAACUUUGGAAUUGCUUUUAAAACUGCUAGUCUAGAGAUUGAAAGAGGAUAGGAGAAUUCCUAGUGUAGAGGUGAAAUUCGUAAAUAUUAGGAGGAACACCAGUGGCGAAGGCGCCUAUCUGGUUCAAAUCUGACGCUGAGGUGCGAAGGCGUGGGGAGCAAACAGG